UACGGAGGGGGGCUAGCGUUGUUCGGAAUUACUGGGCGUAAAGCGCACGUAGGCGGCUUUGUAAGUUAGAGGUGAAAGCCCGGGGCUUAACUCCGGGUCUGCAUUCGAUACGGGCAGACUAGAGUCCGGAAGAGGAGAGUGGAAUUCCUGGUGUAGCGGUGAAAUGCGCAGAUAUCAGGAAGAACACCCGUGGCGAAGGCGGCUCUCUGGGACGGUACUGACGCUGAGACGCGAAAGCGUGGGGAGCGAACAGG
rnacentral:rRNA from 1 species